AUUGAACGCUGGCGGCAGGCUUAAUACAUGCAAGUCGAGCGGAGAUGAGGUGCUUGCACCUUAUCUUAGCGGCGGACGGGUGAGUAAUGCUUAGGAAUCUGCCUAUUAGUGGGGGACAACAUUCCGAAAGGAAUGCUAAUACCGCAUACGUCCUACGGGAGAAAGCAGGGGAUCUUCGGACCUUGCGCUAAUAGAUGAGCCUAAGUCGGAUUAGCUAGUUGGUGGGGUAAAGGCCUACCAAGGCGACGAUCUGUAGCGGGUCUGAGAGGAUGAUCCGCCACACGGGGACAGAGGACCGGCCCAGACUCCUACGGGAGGCGGCAGUGGGGAAUGUUGGACAAUGGGGGGAACGCUGAUCCAGCCAUGCCGCGUGUGUGAAGAAGGCCUUAUGGUUGUAAAGCACUUUAAGCGAGGAGGAGGCUACUGAGACUAAUACUCUUGGGUAGUGGACGUUACUCGCAGAAUACGCACCGGCUAACUCUGUGCCAGACGCCGCAGUAACAC
rnacentral:rRNA from 1 species